UGCAGUCGAACGAGAAAGGUCUUUUCGGAGACCGAGUAAAGUGGCGGACGGCUGAGUAAUGCAUAGAUAACCUGCCCUCGAGAUGGGGACAACGCCUCGAAAGGGGUGCUAAUACCCAAUGCCGCCUCGGCCUUGCGAGGCUGAGGUGAAAGGAGGCCUCUGAUUUAAGCUUCCGCUCAAGGAGGGGUUUAUGUACUAUUAGCUUGUUGGUGAGGUAACGGCUCACCAAGGCUACGAUGGUUAGCCGACCUGAGAGGGUGACCGGCCACAUUGGGACUGAGACACUGCCCAGACUCCUACGGGAGGCUGCAGUCGAGGAUCUUCCGCAAUGCGCGAAAGCGUGACGGAGCGACGCCGCGUGGGUGAUGAAGGCCUUCGGGUUGUAAAGCCCUGUCAGCUAUUAUGAAUCGCGGGCGAUGAAUAGUUGUCCCGCUUGACAAAAGUAGCAAAGGAAGCACCGGCUAACUACGUGCCAGCAGCCGCGGUAAUACGUAGGGUGCAAACGUUGUUCGGAAUCACUGGGCAUAAAGAGCGCGUAGGCGGUUUGGUAAGUCAGCUGUGAAAUCCCCCGGCUUAACCGGGGAACUGCAGUUGAUACUGCCUGGCUAGAGUGCAGGAGGG
rnacentral:rRNA from 1 species